rnacentral:rRNA from 1 species
CCUACGGGUGACAGCAGUGAGGAAUAUUGGUCAAUGGACGCAAGUCUGAACCAGCCAUGCCGCGUGCAGGAAGACGGCCCUAUGAGUUGUAAACUGCUUUUGUACGAGGGUAAACGCAGAUACGCGUAUCUGUCUGAAAGUAUCGUACGAAUAAGGAUCGGCUAACUCCGUGCCAGCAGCCGCGGUAAUACGGAGGAUUCAAGCGUUAUCCGGAUUUAUUGGGUUUAAAGGGUGCGUAGGCGGUCGGAUAAGUUAGAGGUGAAAUCCCGAGGCUCAACUUCGGAAUUGCCUCUGAUACUGUUCGGCUAGAGAGUAGGUGCGGUAGGCGGAAUGUAUGGUGUAGCGGUGAAAUGCUUAGAGAUCAUACAGAACACCGAUUGCGAAGGCAGCUUACCAAGCUACUUCUGACGUUGAGGCACGAAAGCGUGGGGAGCGAACAGGAUUAGAUACCCCAGUAGUC